UGCGAGGGUACUUGCUUGUGGUGGUGACAUCUGUGUCCGCGGGUUCCGUGUUCGAUUCUGUCGCAUCAGGCGAUGCGGUGCCUUUGCUGCGCCUUAGUAGCUGGUUUCGGCGAUCUUUCAAGCCCUGCGGAGGGAUAAUGAGGAUAUCGAGGGCGAGAGAAGAGGAACGAUAGUUAUUAAAAAAAAAAAAAAAACUAUAAAAUAUUUAAAUUGUAAAAUAAAUCGAAUAAAUUUUUGUGUUUAAUUAAUAACCUACAACCUUAUCCCAUUUUAGUUUUGAUGUAAAUACGAAUUAAGUCAAAGUAAGAUUAUAAAUUUAUGCAUUAAACGUUUUGUAUUUUGA